AAAAAAUCUCUCCUGUGAAACAGUGACUGUAAAGUCUGGCUUCCACCCAAGCCACAGGAACUUUAAACAGUCUGCGGGCUCAGCGGCCACAGACAGGUUCAAACUGAGUGGGAUGAAAGCUGCUCCCAGGUUUUCAAUCUGAGGUCGCAGAAACCCUUCAAGUUUCCCCAUCUCUCUCUGAGGGUUCAUGAGGAAAAUAACACUGAGUUGUAUUGUGACCUCUGCCCAGUGAUGGGAAAAUAGUUCCAGUUAUUAUAUUGCGUUGAUGGCCGCAUACGUUCCAUCAGCUAAAGCAAAAUGAAGAUUGAGUGGGCUGUAAAGCCUGCGCUGGAGAUCAUGUCAGCACUCAGAACAGAAUUAAGAUAAUUUCAAUUUCAUUUCGGCAAAAGAGUACAUUCAUUCUGGUCUUUCAUACUUUUCCCAUGAAAAAGUUAGCAAUCUGAUUAAUGAUAUCAAGGCUUUGGAAUAAUAGGAAGAAGAGAAUGUGCCAGAAACACAUUGAUAUGAAGUUUAAACCAGCUUAAACCAUUCUCCAUAAAUAAUUGAAACAACUUCUAACAAAAGUCCUUACAGAAGCAUCAUUGUUCGAAAGAAAAGAAUGUAACAGUCUGAAGUAAAAUGCUGAGAUCGUCUCUCUGCAGAAGGAACAAAUAAUAAUUAAUAUGUAUAACACUGAUUGAAAACCUGCCUUUAGUCUUUGAAGAGCAUGACUAUAUGAUCUUUGGAGAAGAAUAUGACGUGCACACGGAAUGUACAAAGUUUGGACAACAUCUGUAGGAGAAGCUUGAGAAGAUCAGCUGUCACCAGGCCUGAUUCCUGUGGUGAAAGCCCACUGUUUUAGCUGAUUUUCUGAUGGAAUGAACUUGAGUUUCUUGAGAAAGGAGCAGCUGUAUAUUGUACAUGAGAGAAAGGAUGGUUAAAUAGACCAAAAUAUGUUCUGUACAAUCCCAGGUAUUCUUCUUACAAUCUGAUGUUGGAACUAUUUCAUGCAAUGACUGGAUCUACCACUAAUCCUCAAAGUCAGAUGGGACCUCAUUAUUAUCCAAUGGAAUACAACACAGAUGACUUAUGCAAUAUUUGGUGCUGGGUCAUGAAGAAGUCAAGCACAUUUGACUUGCUCUCUUAACACACUUGUUCUUGGAACUCAAACACUAGAAUGGGAGGAAGCCCAAGCAAAGUCCACAGGGAAAGGAAUGAAGGCCCUGGUUAACAGCACUGGAUGGUGUCCAGCCAGUAGCCUGUGAGUAACUUAUUAUAGAGAUAGAUAUUCCAGUCUCACAUCAAUCUAUUCCAGCUUAAGGUCAGUUGGUGCAAAUAAAAGUUGCUUCUGAUGCCUCAAGUACAAA
rnacentral:lncRNA from 1 species